GACGAACGCUGGCGGCGUGCUUAACACAUGCAAGUCGAACGGAAAGGCCCUGCUUUUGUGGGGUGCUCGAGUGGCGAACGGGUGAGUAACAAGUGAGUAACCUGCCCUUGACUUUGGGAUAACUUCAGGAAACUGGGGCUAAUACCGGAUAGGAGCUCCUGCUGCAUGGUGGGGGUUGGAAAGUUUCGGCGGUUGGGGAUGGACUCGCGGCUUAUCAGCUUGUUGGUGGGGUAGUGGCUUACCAAGGCUUUGACGGGUAGCCGGCCUGAGAGGGUGACCGGCCACAUUGGGACGGAGAUACGGCCCAGACUCCUACGGGAGGCAGCAGUGGGGAAUAUUGCACAAUGGGCGGAAGCCUGAUGCAGCAACGCCGCGUGCGGGAUGACGGCCUUCGGGUUGUAAACCGCUUUCGCCUGUGACGAAGCGUGAGUGACGGUAAUGGGUAAAGAAGCACCGGCUAACUACGUG
rnacentral:rRNA from 1 species